CGGGAUGUGGCUCAAGUGGUAGCGCGCUCGCCUGGCAUGCGUGAAGCACUGGGUUCGAUUCUCAGCACCACAU
rfam:Ictidomys tridecemlineatus contig046499, whole genome shotgun sequence.